rnacentral:rRNA from 1 species
CGACGAGUCACCACUUUCAUCUAUAGGCAUGGCAGAAUUCUUAGCCUAAUGAGGAAGGCAACAGGUGGGCUGAAUCUUGUCAGACCCGCAGCCACUCGCUUUGCCACAUCCAUUCUUGCUCUUAAGAGUUUGGUCAAGCACAAGCAAGCAUUAAGGAGUCUAUUUACAUGUCAAGCAUGGGUUGGAAACAAAUUGGCCAAAACUGCAGCCGGUUUGAAUGUGCAAGGCAUUGUGCUUUCAGCGGAUUGGUGGCAUGUAAUUGAGGACUGCCUUAGAGCUUCAGGUCCACUACUUUGAGUGCUUAGGCUAGCAGAUGGUGAUGAGAUUCCUGCCAUGCCAGAAAUGACAGCACUAAUGAGGUUUGCAAAGGAGAAGAUCAAUCAAGGUUUUCCCCACCAAAACAAGAAAGCUUUGCUCAAGAAGAUCAUGGACAUUGUUGACAAGCGUUGGGAGAAUCAAAUGGAUGAUCCAUUGUAUGGGGCUGCUUUGUUUUUGAACCCUGGAAAAUACUUCUCUAUUGUCGAGAGUGGUGAUGAUGCCCUAAUUGGGGAGCUAAGAAGUUGUUUUAAUGAUGUCCUUGCACGAACGGUACUUGAUGUCAAUACUCGCAACAAGAUUGAUGCACAAGCCGUUCUCUACGAGGACAAGCGAGGACCCUUUGCUAAUGUGAUGGCCAUCGAUAACAUGGUCAAAAGAAACCCUUGUAAGUGA